rnacentral:rRNA from 1 species
UACGUAGGGUGCAAGCGUUGUCCGGAAUUAUUGGGCGUAAAGAGCUCGUAGGCGGUCUGUCGCGUCUGCUUUGAAAACUCGGGGCUUAACCCCGGGCCUGCAGUGGGUACGGGCAGACUAGAGUGCGGUAGGGGAGACUGGAAUUCCUGGUGUAGCGGUGAAAUGCGCAGAUAUCAGGAGGAACACCGGUGGCGAAGGCGGGUCUCUGGGCCGUAACUGACGCUGAGGAGCGAAAGCGUGGGGAGCGAACAGG